UUAGCUAUUUUAGAUAGACUUGUAUUCAGCAUUAUGGAUACAAGUAGCAAUGUGAUUUGUAUCUAUAAUGGCUAGAGCUUUUUACUGUGAAUUUUAGCCAUGUAGACACCCUAGAUGGCUGAAAACUUUUGAUAUGAUUUCAUCACCAUUUAGGCAUAUUGCUUAAAUGGUUUUAUUUUUAUCUAAU
rnacentral:ncRNA from 1 species